rnacentral:rRNA from 1 species
UCGAACGAGAGAUGAGGAGCUUGCUCUUCAAAUCGAGUGGCGAACGGGUGAGUAACGCGUGAGGAACCUGCCUCAAAGAGGGGGACAACAGUUGGAAACGACUGCUAAUACCGCAUAAGCCCACGGCUCGGCAUCGAGCAGGGGGAAAAGGAGCAAUCCGCUUUGAGAUGGCCUCGCGUCCGAUUAGCUAGUUGGUGAGGUAAUGGCCCACCAAGGCGACGAUCGGUAGCCGGACUGAGAGGUUGAACGGCCACAUUGGGACUGAGACACGGCCCAGACUCCUACGGGAGGCAGCAGUGGGGAAUAUUGCACAAUGGGGGAAACCCUGAUGCAGCGACGCCGCGUGGAGGAAGAAGGUCUUCGGAUUGUAAACUCCUGUUGUUGAGGAAGAUAAUGACGGUACUCAACAAGGAAGUGACGGCUAACUACGUGCCAGCAGCCGCGGUAAAACGUAGGUCACAAGCGUUGUCCGGAAUUACUGGGUGUAAAGGGAGCGCAGGCGGGAGAACAAGUUGGAGGUGAAAUCCAUGGGCUCAACCCAUGAACUGCUUUCAAAACUGUUUUUCUUGAGUAGUGCAGAGGUAGGCGGAAUUCCCGGUGUAGCGGUGGAAUGCGUA